AAGACUCAAAAUGAGGCCGCACUUUGGGAAUCUAUGUUGUAGAGGAUAAAGUUUUACACCCUAAUGCAUGUAAACAAGUCAUCUACAGUACUACUUCAGGUUUUUUGUCAAACCUUUUUUUUUAUCAGCAAGUGAACAUGCCACCAAAAGAAAUGACUUACAUGUAGGGCAAGAAUACAGCUGAGAUAUGAGUUUCAAAUUUGUCAUCAGAAUUCGAUAUUGCUUCAUUAGCUUUCUUUUAUGAUUUUGUAGGUCAAGUUUGACAACUAUGAAGCCCUUCUGUCAUUUCUGCUGGUGAACAACAACCACUGGAAGUUGCUGUAUAUCAAUACAGAAGCCAGUACAGUCUUCCUAAUGGAUCCUGCACAACUGUCAUCAGAACUUGAGGACUCCAAAAAGGCUGCUGGAAGAAUACAGGAAUACUUCAAGAUGAGAAGGACAUGCCAUGGAAAAACAGACUGGGUCGGGAUCCAUUGGAAAGGGGGGGCUAUGUGCCACCCUAUCCAACAAGAUGGAAACA